CGUGAAAUCAACGCGAUCGCGCAUUUUAAAAUGUGAGGAAAGUCCGGGCACCAUAGAGACGCGCUCCAGCUAACGGCUGGCUGUCGUAAGGCAAGGGAAAGUGGCACAGAAACAAAACAGCCAAUGUCCGGUUCAGUUAGGAGGUGAUAUUCAUGUACUUUAAUGCAACCGCUAAAAUUCGAGUCACGUGCAAAGCCAAGGCAGGUGUGUUCGAACCAAUCAAUGAGAAUGGUUCUUAUAUCAAAACUUUGGAAAAGUCGAUCGAUGCCGAAAACCGCCAAGAAGCCGAUCGCAAAGCAAGACGAUGGGCCGAAAACAGUUGCCAAGGAAUGUACGCCGAGGCUGGUGUAGUCAAGGCAACAAUCGUCAGCGUGACCUGUAACUAGACCUAGUUCAUUCGACCCGUCCCCUUAAUCUGGGCGACUUGUUCGCCCCUUCCUAACUGAAUCGGAAAAGGCAAAGGUGAAAAGAGUGAGGUAAGAGCUCACAAUCGUCCUUAGUAAUAAGGCGAGUGGCUAAACCCAGCGUGGUGCAAGUUGAGCGGGCCGCUAUUCAUUAAGUUCAUCGUUCCCAAAAGGAACAACGAGCUCCGUCUCGGUCUCGAGACAGAAUAGUUGGUCUCAACGCAUUAGAUUAAUGUUCGCGAGCUGCCGCAAGGUAGUUACAGAACCCGGCUUAUUAGGUUUCCGCUAA
rnacentral:RNase_P_RNA from 1 species